rnacentral:lncRNA from 1 species
GCUUUUCUUUUAGAGAAAUUACAUCCACGUUUUAAUUACUUGAGGAACAAAACAGAAAUUAAUUUGGUGAGUGGUGUUGAUACUCGGAUAUAGUUAGGUUGAUAUCAAUCUGAUAUGAGAAGUUUGAAGGUUGUGCACAUGGAAAAGCAACCAAGAGUUGCAGGGUUAUAGUUCUUUCUCUUUCAAUGGUUGGUGUGGGUAAUAUAAAAGAUUUUGGAAGAUCAAUUGCAUUACCCAUAUAUGGUUUCGAGUGGGUAAACACUAUUACUUUGAACACUUAGCUUGAACUAUUGGUUUUAAACAUGUAGAUGGAUUUGUUUAUAUUAGCUAAUGAAUGGAUAUUGAAUCAUAAUUGAUUUUCUUUGCCUUAGACAUUUUGGUGUUGCGGAUAUACGGAAUUAAACGAUGGUGUGGUGGUGUGAUACAGUCAAGAUUUUGAUUCUAAAGAAAUAUUGGUUUCAUUGAAGGUUGGGUAUUACUGCAUGAACUAAAUAGUGGAUACGGUGGUUCGGAAACUUAUGAACAAGUGGGGCGGCACUGUGAUUUUGGGAUAUGGAAGUAGCAAUUUAAAGAAAACAAACAACAUAAAUAAAGAGGUGUGAUGAGCUUAUAAAUCUCGACAAAUGGCAAUUGGUCGGUGAAAUGUUUAGUGUGUGGAUUGAUUAAUUAAGUUGGUACAAGCUGUUACACCAAUACAAAAUGAAGUUGCAGAUGCAUCUUUAGGAUAUCAAUAUUCCUAAUUGAGUGAUUCGGAGUUUAAUGAAGUUAAGGAGCUAGCGAGUAAGAGGUAGGGAC